AAGGUGUUAGUAAAUAUAUUACACUGUCUUGUCAAGACAAUAUAAUAAGUUAAAUCCUUAUACACUUUA
rnacentral:tRNA from 1 species